rnacentral:tRNA from 1 species
GUUUGUUGGGACGGGAUCCGCGCCGCUCAGACCGGCGAUGGAAGUUUUGACGCCUGGGUACGCGGCGAUCGUUCCGCCGCCGAACA